rnacentral:rRNA from 1 species
AUUGAACGCUGGCGGCAUGCCUUACACAUGCAAGUCGAACGGCAGCACGGGAGCAAUCCUGGUGGCGAGUGGCGAACGGGUGAGUAAUACAUCGGAACGUGCCCAAUCGUGGGGGAUAACGCAGCGAAAGCUGUGCUAAUACCGCAUACGAUCUACGGAUGAAAGCAGGGGAUCGCAAGACCUUGCGCGAAUGGAGCGGCCGAUGGCAGAUUAGGUAGUUGGUGAGGUAAAGGCUCACCAAGCCGUCGAUCUGUAGCUGGUCUGAGAGGACGACCAGCCACACUGGGACUGAGACACGGCCCAGACUCCUACGGGAGGCAGCAGUGGGGAAUUUUGGACAAUGGGCGAAAGCCUGAUCCAGCCAUGCCGCGUGCAGGAUGAAGGCCUUCGGGUUGUAAACUGCUUUUGUACGGAACGAAACGGCCUUUUCUAAUAAAGAGGGCUAAUGACGGUACCGUAAGAAUAAGCACCGGCUAACUACGUGCCAGCAGCCGCGGUAAUACGUAGGGUGCAAGCGUUAAUCGGAAUUACUGGGCGUAAAGCGUGCGCAGGCGGUUAUGUAAGACAGUUGUGAAAUCCCCGGGCUCAACCUGGGAACUGCAUCUGUGACUGCAUAGCUAGAGUACGGUAGAGGGGGGAUGGAAUUCCGCGUGUAGCAUGAAAUGCGUAGAUAUGCGGUAGGAAACCGAUGGCGAAGGCAACCCCUGGACCUGUACAGAGCUCAUGCACUAA